GGGGAUUCUGAGAAGGGGGUUGGAAAUCAAAACAAUCACUAAUGUGAAAUCACAUGCUACCUCUGGGUAGAUACUGUCAGAAUUGCCUUGACUUGUUUCUAGGACACUCACCAGUAUCUGCUCACCAGGUCAGAUUAGCGUGUCAUCAGUAUUUCAGAGCAAUGUGAUGUUUUGUGAAAUGGAAACAUAUUAUCAUGGAGAGCAGAAGAGUCAACAUUGCCUUGAGGCGACACAGUGAAGCUAUUGCUGUCCUGACCAUGAGGUGGCAAAGUUGUAUUAAUCCUCCUGACUGAUGAAAGAAAAACAUUUGCCAAAUCAUUGCCACACGCUGCGGCUAUUUUUCUGCUCCAGGAGAGUCCAGCAUCUGCCAUUGCCCAUUCGUUUCCUGCAGAGAGACAAAAUCAAACCUGCUGAAGCCACAUGUAUUCACUCUGUCCACAGAAGAGAAAAAAAUAUUUUCACCAAAAUUCAGCCUGCGAAACUGAAUCUCUACUGUGAAUAGAUAUUGCAAACCAGAGUUUUGCAAUAUAUUUACUCUUCUUUAGAGAAAAGUCAUCUGGCUGGGUUGGGAUAUGAGUGGGUCCUUUAUAUAGCACCUGUUAAGAACUCCUACAAGUAAAUGCCUGAAGGACAGGAGAACCUGGUGGACAUUGACUAGCUACUCCAUGAGCAAGAUAUGUGCCUGAUACCAAUUCUUACCA